CUCUUCUUCUUCUACAGCGCGCUCGAGGCAACAACAGCAACAAUUGCAACAAUUGCAACAAGUGCAACACGCGCGUGCCGCAAAUUCAAACUAACAACAACAACAACUUCAACAAGCUACGCAAAUUAACAAUCAAACAUUUUUGGACAACUUUACACUGCCUUCUAGUUUAUACAAAUUAGUAUCUAGCGCAACUUUACAUACAUACAUAUGUACAACAUAUAUAUACAAACAUAUAUAUAGAUAUAUGAGUGGCAAGUGGAUAGAAACGUGCCACGAUAUUUACAACACGUUCUGGAUAGGAUAUAUAAAUAUAUAUAUAUAUAAAGAUAUAAUAUAUAUAUCUGAGACUCUUAGCGCUUAACAGUUGCUACGAAAAAAUCCAAAAAAAAAAAGAAAAAAAA